GCCAGUGAGCCGAUCUGUCUGUGCUAUGGAUGAUUUUACGAUCUAAUUCAUAGACAAAACCCUAUUCAUUUGGCACCCAAAUGUCAUAUAGCCGGAACUGGGGCUUAUAAAGUUUACUGUUUUAUAACUUUUAAAAGGAAAGACGGCAUCAGUGUAAGCAGUCGGUAAAUGUGCAAAUCUCUAGUUGCGCUUUAGCUGCUCUGAGGAGUUUCCCAAUCGAGCUAGGAUGGGAAUUCCACCCACGCACCUAUUCCCCCUCCCAGCGCUUCAGACACCUCUCUCAUCGAAAAACCGGGCGAAGGGAAGCCGGCAACGAGCGGAGAACUCUGGCUGAAUUAACGGUGGCUCCCAGAAGCUCCUGCCCCUCUGACAGCUGUCGCCUGGGCAGCCCGAGAGAAGAAUUGUCCUCUUUCCUGGUG